rnacentral:rRNA from 1 species
UCGACCUCGGAUCAGGUAGGGAUACC